rnacentral:rRNA from 1 species
UACAGAGGUCUCAAGCGUUGUUCGGAUUCAUUGGGCGUAAAGGGUGCGUAGGCGGCGCGGUAAGUCGGGUGUGAAAUCUCGGAGCUUUAACUCCGAAACUGCAUUCGAUACUGCCGUGCUUGAGGACUGGAGAGGAGACUGGAAUUUACGGUGUAGCGGUGAAAUGCGUAGAUAUCGUAAGGAAGACCAGUGGCGAAGGCGGGUCUCUGGACAGUUCCUGACGCUGAGGCACGAAGGUCAGGGGAGCAAACGGG